CGGCACCUAAUUGAAAUGCCCGCC
rnacentral:miRNA from 1 species